rnacentral:rRNA from 1 species
AACGUAGGAGGCGAGCGUUAUCCGGAUUCACUGGGCGUAAAGCGCGUGCAGGCGGUUCGUUAAGUUGGGCGUGAAAUCUCCUGGCUUAACUAGGAGAGGUCGUUCAAUACUAUCGGACUAGAGAGUGGUAGAGGAAGAUGGAAUUCCCGGUGUAGUGGUGAAAUGCGUAGAUAUCGGGAGGAACACCAGUGGCGAAAGCGAUCUUCUGGACCAUUUCUGACGCUCAGACGCGAAAGCUAGGGUAGUAAACGGG